AACGCUAGCUACAGGCUUAACACAUGCAAGUCGAGGGGCAGCAUAAAAGUAGCAAUACUUUGGUGGCGACCGGCGCACGGGUGAGUAACGCGUAUGCAACCUACCUAUCAGAGGGGAAUAACCCGGCGAAAGUCGGACUAAUACCGCAUAAAACAGGGGCACCGCAUGGUGAUAUUUGUUAAAGAGAUUCGCUGAUAGAUGGGCAUGCGUUCCAUUAGGUAGUUGGUGAGGUAACGGCUCACCAAGCCGACGAUGGAUAGGGGAACUGAGAGGUUGGUCCCCCACACUGGUACUGAGACACGGACCAGACUCCUACGGGAGGCAGCAGUGAGGAAUAUUGGUCAAUGGGCGGGAGCCUGAACCAGCCAAGUCGCGUGAAGGAAGAAGGAUCUAUGGUUCGUAAACUUCUUUUGCAGGGGAAUAAAGUGCAGGACGUGUCCUGUUUUGUAUGUACCCUGAGAAUAAGGAUCGGCUAACUCCGUGCCAGCAGCCGCGGUAAUACGGAGGAUCCGAGCGUUAUCCGGAUUUAUUGGGUUUAAAGGGUGCGUAGGUGGUUUGAUAAGUCAGCGGUGAAAGUUUGCAGCUUAACUGUAAAAAUGCCGUUGAAACUGUCGGACUUGAGUGUAAAUGAGGUAGGCGGAAUGCGUGGUGUAGCGGUGAAAUGCAUAGAUAUCACGAAGAACUCCGAUUG
rnacentral:rRNA from 1 species